AACGAACGCUGGCGGCAUGCCUAACACAUGCAAGUCGAACGAGACCUUCGGGUCUAGUGGCGCACGGGUGCGUAACGCGGGGGAACCUGCCCUUAGGUUCGGAAUAACUCCCCGAAAGGGGUGCUAAUACCGGAUAAUGUCUUCGGACCAAAGAUUUCUCGCCAUUGGAUGGGCGCGCGUUGGAUUAGCUAGUUGGUAGGGGAAAAGCCUACCAAGGAGACGAUGCAUAGCUGGUCUGAGAGGAUGAUCAGCCACACUGGGAAUGAGACACGGCCCAGACUCCUACGGAAGGCAGCAGUGGGGAAUAUUGGACAAUGGGCGAUAGCCUGAUCCAGCAAUGCCGCGUGAGUGAUGAAGGCCUUAGGGUUGUAAAGCUCUUUUACCCGGGAUGAUAAUGACAGUACCGGGAGAAUAAGCACCGGCUAACUACGUG
rnacentral:rRNA from 1 species